GAUGAACGCUGGCGGCGUGCCUAAUACAUGCCAGUCGAGCGAACGGACGAGAAUCUUGCUUCGCUGAUGUUAGCGGCGGACGGGAGAGUAACACGUGUAUAACCUACCUAUAAGACUGGGAUAACUUCGGGAAACCGGAGCUAAUACCGUAUAAUAUUUUGAACCGCAUGGUUCAAAAGUAAAAGACGGUCUUGCUGUCACUUAUAGAUGGAUCCGCGCUGCAUUAGCUAGUUGGUAAGGUAACGGCUUACCAAGGCAACGAUGCAUAGACGAACUGAGAGGGUGGUAGGCCACACUAGAACUGAGACACGGUCCAGACUCCUACGGGAGGCAGCAGUAGGGAAUCUUCCGCAGUGGGCGAAAGCCUGACGGAGCAACGCCGCGUGAGUGAUGAAGGUCUUCGGAUCGUAAAACUCUGUUAUUAGGGAAGAACAUAUGUGUAAGUAAAUGUGCACAUCUUGACGGUACCUAAUCAGAAAGCCACGGCUAACUACGUG
rnacentral:rRNA from 1 species